AGACCCUGGCAAUGGGCAAAGAGAUGCCUUCUUGGUGGUGCUGUUUUUAUAUCAGACAGGGGCAGAGCAGAUGGCAGUCCUUUGUUCAUCCUACCUUGAUGCCUGGCUUGGUGGCCUAAGCUGCCUUAUGCCUAGGACACAUAA